rnacentral:lncRNA from 1 species
CAAUAUCUUGAAGUACAUUUUCCAAGUUGGUUCCAUUCUCCCCAUCUCUUUCAGGGACACCAGUCAGGAAUCUACUGCACUGGGGAUGCUGAGGUUCUCACAGACUGCUUCUCAUCACACUCCCAUAGGUGGUGUCAGCCAAAAGGUUCUGUGAUGUGCUGCAGAGCCAGCAUCGAUAUGGGACAGUGUUAGCCAUUUGGGAGAAGUUGGUUUUGACUGCUGUGCAAGGGGCACACCUGUCUCCAGCUGUCAGAAGAGCCAUUGGGCAAAGAGGUGCAGAGUCUGGCAGUGAGAAAUCAGAACUCCAUGUGUGACCUGAUGUUCUAUUCGAUGGAUGUGCAGUUAUGUACUGCAUUGGUUGUUCUUUGUGGAGGGGACGAGUGCCAGGCACCUUUAUUCAGCCAUAUUGAAGCCCCUCCCAUCCAUUAAUACUAUGCAAGAUGGAAAAUUCUUAAAUGUUUUAAAUGAAGGCUGAAGAGAACCAGUAAAGAAAGAUUUAAAGUAUGAAGGAGCAAUAAUAUGCCCCCACCAAUGUCUUUUCCUACUAAACUCAUCAAAACAAGUCACAGAGAAACAAUGGGCAAAAUGUAUUCACUUUUUAAAAAUCUUCACUUAAUACAUGGUUUUGUUGCAGUGUUCUUUUAUAUAGGAAGUCAAAUUUGUAACUUUUAAAAAUAAAUGAGAUUUUUGUUUAUUUGUUGUCUCGAAAACGUUUACAAAACUCACUGAAAGCAUAAACAAAGAUUUUUUUUGUACAUUUAAAAUAAUUUUAGAAAAACUAUCACAUAUGACUAGGACAUACAUUUACUAUGAAUCACAGCUUAUAUGUACAGCAAAUGUACAAUCCUUUUAAUUUGUCUUCAGUUAAUCUGACCUUUCUAAUCUCCCUAGUUUUCAUACACUAGAAAUAAAAAUAACUUUGUGUCUUACCUUAUUUAAGAUCUGAUGAUGACUGUCCUUCUUGGAAUAAUAGCAGUCUCUCACAUCCCAGUUAACCAAAUACAGACUUUGGCCUCCAAUAUCAAGGAUCCCCCAAGUGGAGAAGAGAUGUUAACAAGCAAACAGUGGAGUCAGAAGACACUGGGCCAGAGAUGUCAACCCUUAAACUCUACAAUGAUAUCCGUCCCCCUGUACACACUUCCCAGCCAGGGAAGGAAGAGGUGGAAGAGAAAUUGAAAACUAAGCUUUAUUUUUCUAAACAGAUGAAAUUGAAAACUAAGCUUUGUUUUACUAAACAAAUUGAGAAAUAAUAAAAGGUAAAUUAACAGAGCUGACAUGGUGGCGCAUACCUGUAACUCCAGCUAUUCAGGAGCCUGAGAUGGGAAGAUCACUUGGACCCAGGAGUUUGAGACCAGCCUGGGCAACAUAGUGAGUCCCCAUCUCUACCAAAAAAAUUAGAAAUUAGCUGGGCAUGGUGGUGCAUGCCUGUAGUUCCAAAUACUCAGGAGGUUAAG